AGCUCUGGUGGCCUAAUGGUUAGAGUGUCCACCUCAGAUAUAGGAGGUUGUGGGUUUGAUCCCCAGUCAAGUCA